UUGCAACGGAUAAUCCGUUGCAAAUGAAAAAUAAAAAUGCAACGGAUUAUCCGUUGCAA
rnacentral:sRNA from 1 species